GAUGAACGCUGGCGGCGUGCCUAAUACAUGCAAGUCGAGCGAACGGACGAGAAGCUUGCUUCUCUGAUGUUAGCGGCGGACGGGUGAGUAACACGUGGAUAACCUACCUAUAAGACUGGGAUAACUUCGGGAAACCGGAGCUAAUACCGGAUAAUAUUUUGAACCGCAUGGUUCAAAAGUGAAAGACGGUCUUGCUGUCACUUAUAGAUGGAUCCGCGCUGCAUUAGCUAGUUGGUAAGGUAACGGCUUACCAAGGCAACGAUGCAUAGCCGACCUGAGAGGGUGAUCGGCCACACUGGAACUGAGACACGGUCCAGACUCCUACGGGGGGCAGCAGUAGGGAAUCUUCCGCAAUGGGCGAAAGCCUGACGGAGCAACGCCGCGUGAGUGAUGAAGGUCUUCGGAUCGUAAAACUCUGUUAUUAGGGAAGAACAUAUGUGUAAGUAACUGUGCACAUCUUGACGGUACCUAAUCAGAAAGCCACGGCUAACUACGUGCCAGCAGCCGCGGUAAUACGUAGGUGGCAAGCGUUAUCCGGAAUUAUUGGGCGUAAAGCGCGCGUAGGCGGUUUUUUAAGUCUGAUGUGAAAGCCCACGGCUCAACCGUGGAGGGUCAUUGGAAACUGGAAAACUUGAGUGCAGAAGAGGAAAGUGGAAUUCCAUAUGUAGCGGUGAAAUGCGCAGAGAUAUGGAGGAACACCAGUGGCGAAGGCGACUUUCUGGUCUGUAACUGACGCUGAUGUGCGAAAGCGUGGGGAUCAAACAGGAUUAGAUACCCUGGUAGUCCACGCCGUAAACGAUGAGUGCUAAGUGUUAGGGGGUUUCCGCCCCUUAGUGCUGCAGCUAACGCAUUAAGCACUCCGCCUGGGGAGUACGACCGCAAGGUUGAAACUCAAAGGAAUUGACGGGGACCCGCACAAGCGGUGGAGCAUGUGGUUUAAUUCGAAGCAACGCGAAGAACCUUACCAAAUCUUGACAUCCUUUGACAACUCUAGAGAUAGAGCUUUCCCCUUCGGGGGACAAAGUGACAGGUGGUGCAUGGUUGUCGUCAGCUCGUGUCGUGUGAUGUUGGGUUAAGUCCCGCAACGAGCGCAACCCUUAAGCUUAGUUGCCAUCAUUAAGUUGGGCACUCUAAGUUGACUGCCGGUGACAAACCGGAGGAAGGUGGGGAUGACGUCAAAUCAUCAUGCCCCUUAUGAUUUGGGCUACACACGUGCUACAAUGGACAAUACAAAGGGCAGCGAAACCGCGAGGUCAAGCAAAUCCCAUAAAGUUGUUCUCAGUUCGGAUUGUAGUCUGCAACUCGACUACAUGAAGCUGGAAUCGCUAGUAAUCGUAGAUCAGCAUGCUACGGUGAAUACGUUCCCGGGUCU
rnacentral:rRNA from 1 species